AUUGAACGCUGGCGGCAGGCCUAACACAUGCAAGUCGAGCGGGGUUUUCGGACCUAGCGGCGGACGGGUGAGUAAUGCGUAGGAAGCUGCCCGAUAGAGGGGGAUACCAGUUGGCAACGACUGUUAAUACCGCAUAAUGUCUACGGACCAAAGUGUGGGACCUUCGGGCCACAUGCUAUCGGAUGCGCCUACGUGGGAUUAGCUAGUUGGUGAGGUAAUGGCUCACCAAGGCGACGAUCUCUAGCUGGUUUGAGAGGACGAUCAGCCACACUGGAACUGAGACACGGUCCAGACUCCUACGGGAGGCAGCAGUGGGGAAUAUUGGACAAUGGGCGCAAGCCUGAUCCAGCCACGCCGCGUGUGUGAAGAAGGCCUUCGGGUUGUAAAGCACUUUCAGCGAGGAAGAAGGGGUUGUAGUUAAUAGCUGCAACCUUUGACGUUACUCGCAGAAGAAGCACCGGCUAACUCUGUGCCAGCAGCCGCAGUAAUAC
rnacentral:rRNA from 1 species